AUUCCCUGUGAAAGAACAUGUGGAAGUGAUCAUUAGUAGACUGGGGUUCUAUGUAGAUCUAACUGAGAGGAAAAGGUGAACAAAUGCAGCAGGUACAAACAAGGGCCUAUUUUAUUUUUCAGUCUUUUUUUUUUUCCUUCUCCAGUAGGAUUUUUUGGUCCACACCCAAAGGCAGCUGUAGCGCUACGGUAUAGCAAGGUAAUUGAUAUUCAGUUCACUUCUAAGAAACCGGCUUCAGCUGGCUGCGACUGAGAGGGUGGAAUUGCACAGAGACACAAGGCUCAGUUAUGUUCUCUGCUUUAAGGCUGGUGAUGCAAGGACUAGAUACGGCUAACGGUAUUUGGGUGUUGUUUUUGGUUUUGGAAUCUGUUUCCUCUACUCAAGAUCAGGCCAAGUACGUAUUCAUAACAGGAAGCUAAAAAACUGCUGUCAUCUUGAAAACCUAUCUAAUCUUGAGGAAUAGGAAUACAGGUAGUAUAAAACUAGUCUUAAAUCAAUUUACAAGAGGGGAAAAGGAAGCAGAUUGGAUUGUCCACUCCCAAAUGUGCAGGCUGAAAGUGACUGGCACAAUGCCCUUCUGGAGGAAAAAAACAGAUAAACCUCUAAAUGGGACAACAGAUCUUGAAAUCCAUAUUCUGAUAUCUAACGAAGCAUGCAUUCUAAGUUACAGAGGCUGGAGAACUUCUGUAGAAACAGCCAGGCUUAAUCAGGCAAGGAGUAAAGUUUUUGGCUGCUCUGCUUAUAACCAGCACUUCUAACAAACAGCUGAAACCCUCUGGAAGCUUUCUGUGUCUAUAGAAGUGACAGUUAAUGAUUCAUGUAGAGCAUGAUCGUGUGGUAAUCUUUAGCUUAAACUACAACCACAGCACAUGUCUGAAUAACAGUUCUUCAUAACAGAAACAGGAAGAUAUAUUUAUUAAAGGAAGAAUAGCCAACAUUGAAGUCUAUCAAGGAAGUAAAGGGAAAGACAGUUUAGCAAAAUAAGAGCAGCCAACCUUCCAUUAUCUCUAAUCAGUAUCAAGUUAAUCUUUAAGUUCCAAAUCAAAGAGUUGUCUAAAAAGAAAAUUUAAAUGUUGCUAGCUUGCUUAUAGAACAGCUGAUUUAUUUUUCCUCUGCAGAUACAGUAGCUUGUAUGUAUAUAUUUUGUCAAAGGCUAUGAAUACAGUUAAAGAUCAAACUGUACAAAGCAAAUAAAUCAAGGGCUUUUGCCACUAAUGGAACACCGUGUGGCAAUAUUAUAAAAAACAGCAUUGCCAUUUAUCUGUGUCUUGCUCAUCAAAGUUGGGGGAAAUUCUAAACAAGCCUGUUUGAAGCUUCCUUAAUUUGAUCUUUUCAGAAAGGAAGUGAUGUAACUUGUAAUUAUAGAACUUAGUACAUCAUCAGGCAAGCUAUCUUAUGUAUUUAUCUUGAAACUAUAGCUUUUAUUUUAGGAAAUAUGAAAAACAGACUAGUGGUUAAUUCUUAUUAAGAAACUGUUAGCUCAGUGUAUAUUUUGAAUACAGCAUCUAUUCUUCUCUGCCUCCUGGCGUAAGGAGACUGAGAUACUUACUCUGGUAGGUAGAGUGAGUAUGUUAGCGCUGUACAAGAACGAUGAAGAUGCAGUAACCUUCUCUGUCUGCUGGGAAAGGACAGCUCCCUGCUUAAUACCGUUUGGCUCUAGAAAUAAAGAAAACAAAACCGUUACUAGCUGAAAGGAACUCUCCUAUCUGCCAGCUGUUCAGCAGCGUAGGAACACAAUUUUUUGUUUCAAAUGUACUUUACUACUUUAUGAUUUUGUAAGUCAGACUAGCAGUAUCAUACAUACUGCUUCAGACUGCAGAGCCCAAAUUUGUUUCUAGACAAUUACAGUGCUGGAAACUGCCAUGGAAGUGCUGCUUGCUCUUACUUCAGAAAUCUUAUGAGUCUUGAAACAGAUGUGGGUUAAAAACAUGGGAUGACUGAAUUUCUAAGAGCCUGAGGUACUGUGCAGUUUAUACAGAAGCCAAAUGGUAAUGAAACUGAACUAGUCCCUUGAAACCAAAUUUUGGUAAGCAGCUAGACGUGGCUAGACAUGGAAGAAGGUGAAAAAGCAUUUAUGCUAAUCUUUGACAUCACUAAGCAUUAGUUAUUUGCGUUUCAUGGUACACAAAAUGAUUACAGCAAUUCAUUUUAAAAUGUAAUUUCUUUUAAUGGAAUUUAAGAAACGUAAUGCCCUUCUUGCAAAUGUCAAUAUUCCUUUCUCUCAAUCUCUUCUCUAUGUAAUUUUCAAUUACUUUUCUCACUGACAUCACAUGUCCUUUCUUUGUACCAGUGUUAAAGUUCAUUGUUUGUUUUUUGAAACACGUAGUAUAAACUGAGACAGGUGCUUUAACCUCUGGCAAUCUGUCAGAAGAAAACAAGGUAAGAGCACUAGGCGUGGGUUAGUAACUGAUUCUGUUUUGGAACAGCUUGAACCUUUUGUGCUCCCUCAUAUCAUCCACCUUGAAAACAGAAUCUUCAGGAUACUGCAUGAAGAUGUUCUCAAAAUCUAAUUUUUUUAGCUCUUAUUCAAAACUACAUGUACCUCCUUUACUCUGCAGGUAGAUUACAUAAUCAGCUUCUAAAAACCAGAUUUCUUCUUUUACUGUUUAGCAUGAUGGCUUAGAGUACUAUUGUACAGCUGUAUUAGGUUUCGGGUUCUCACCUGGGGUACAUUUCAACUAUGCUGUGCAAAUAUUAACCCUUUUGCGGUGUAAAGGUUGAAUUUUCUGCUUCUUGAGUACAUUGUCAGAUGCAAAAGUAACCAAAGUUGAAGAAACCUAGCAGGCGAGUGUGUGAAACUAGAACGUACAUGUUAAUUUUCAAAACUGGUAUCCUCACUAAUCAUCUGGGCUGUGGUUAAUAGUUGAGUUGAAUCAUUUUCCCUCUUCUCAAAAAAUGUAGUAUAGCUCUUGAAUGCAUCUAUAGAAGAGGGGUUUUAGUUAACUGCUAUUUAACUACUAAGGAAAAUGGUGCUCAUUAAUGUAUGCUUAGGCAUGGAAAAAUUAUGAAGAGCUCUCUGAACAAGUGUCUGGUGGGGGAAAGAGGGAGCUGUCCCAGGGCAAGAAGGAAGUACACGUGCGGGAACCACAGUAGCAGGGCUUUUUCAAUAUGUUACCUUCCUCUGAAGUUUUUUGCUCUCGGUUAGUUACUGGUAAAUUAUGGAAUCUUCCAGAAUAAUCAUAAGAAAGUUCUUCUCCAGCAGAAAUAUCAGUGGCUGCAAAAAGUGCCAGUUUAGGCACCAUUGAGUCAACUCGGACUGGCACCAUAAAUAAAUUUGGUUCGCAGGAAUGAUUCAGGAAUCUGCCUACGUUACCAAUGUACGUAGGGUCAACGAAAGUCUCCAUUAUCUGACCAUUAUGAAGGUGCUCCCUCACUGCUAUAAUAUAGUUUGAAUCCUUGGACGUCUGGGCCCGAGUUCUUCUACGUGCCUCAUUAAAGCCUAAAACUUCACCAGCAUAUUCACAAACAAAUCUUCCUUUAGCUAUGAAUUCCAGAGUGCGGAGACCCCACCCUUUCUUCACAGUCUUGAAUACUUCAAGCCUGAACUGCAAGCCCCUCUGCACAACCCUGUUCUGGCACGCUUCACCACACUGGCACAUGGCGUUGCAUUCAAAAAUAGGCCUGGCGUACUCUUCUUCGUCCGUAGGCUUGAUGCACAAAUUGUUGUAAUUUUCACCAUUGCAAAGACAUGAGCACGCAUGAACCACACAGGAGCUGGUAAGGCAAGAACAUCCUGGAAAGGUGAUUUCCGUAGGGUCAAUGUCUCCGUCCGCUCCAGCCACAUUGUCUGGGCUAUACUGCAAAGAGAACAAGAAUCAAAUCCUUGUAACGUUCAAUGCUUCCUUCUAGAGAGACUUACCAAAGUUUUGAGAAGUCAGCGUUUGGCAAACACUGAUGUCUGAAUGUGGGGAACUGGAAACAAAUACCUGUUCAUACACCAAACUGACUGCAUUGCUUGAUCUUUGAGACUUGGCUCAAUGAAAGAAAAGGUGAAGGGAAGAAAAGAAAAUAUGAUGUACCUCUUGACAACUUUGGUAGCCAACAGCAAAACUAGAAGGCUUAUACCUUAACCAACGUGUUGGCAAAAGCUACUUGUAGAAUCUCUGCUUGUUCUGUUUCCUCAGAAAAUUAUUUAAAAAAAUAAACUAAACCUUUUAAGUAUAUAUAGUGAUCUCUUUCAAGAUUGAAAUUAUCUUUCAAAAUAAAAGCAUUAUCAUGGACCUAA